AAGAAUCUGCCACAUUGGCUUGUUUCUUUCUUUGAUCUUGUUGAUGCAUCAGAUGGCACAUUUGAUCUGCAAAUUAGGCCUUUCUGAAUCGAAUCAUCUUUUCUUCUACCCCAUUUCUUUAUAUUUUGGACUAGAGUAGGUUUUUUCUUGAUACUUUCUUAGUGCUUGAAUAGCUAGUAGUAAUAUCACCAAAGGUUGAC
rnacentral:lncRNA from 1 species